rnacentral:rRNA from 1 species
GAUGAACGCUGGCGGCGUGCCUAAUACAUGCAAGUCGAGCGAACGGACGAGAAGCUUGCUUUUCUGAUGUUAGCGGCGGACGGGUGAGUAACACGUGGAUAGCCUACCUAUAAGACUGGGAUAACUUCGGGAAACCGGAGCUAAUACCGGAUAAUAUUUUGAACCGCAUGGUUCAAAAGUGAAAGACGGUCUUGCUGUCACUUAUAGAUGGAUCCGCGCUGCAUUAGCUAGUUGGUAAGGUAACGGCUUACCAAGGCAACGAUGCAUAGCCGACCUGAGAGGGUGAUCGGCCACACUGGAACUGAGACACGGUCCAGACUCCUACGGGAGGCAGCAGUAGGGAAUCUUCCGCAAUGGGCGAAAGCCUGACGGAGCAACGCCGCGUGAGUGAUGAAGGUCUUCGGAUCGUAAAACUCUGUUAUUAGGGAAGAACAUAAGUGUAAGUAACUGUGCACAUCUUGACGGUACCUAAUCAGAAAGCCACGGCUAACUACGUG